rnacentral:rRNA from 1 species
UUGCCACAUCCACAAGGGAACUCAGCAGUGAUUAACAUUAAUUAUGAGCGCAAGCUCAACUUAGUUAAAGUAACACUAGGGCCGGCUAAUCUGGUGCCAGCCGCCGCGGUUACACCAUGAGGCCCAAAUUGACCACAAUCGGCGUAAAGCGUGAUUAAAGCUAUCCAAAUAGAAUUAAAAUAAAACUGAGCCGUGACACGCCUGUUUGUAUGAACCACAAAACAAAGUUAUUCUAACUUACUCAACUUGAAUUCACGACAGUUGGGGAACAAACUAGGAUUAGAUACCCUACUAUGCCCAACCGUAAACUUUAAAUUACACUACCAUCGCCAGGGAACUACGAGCUAAGCUUAAAACCCAAAGGACUUGACGGUACCCCACAUCCCCCUAGAGGAGCCUGUUCUAUAAUCGAUAAUCCACGAUUAACCUCACCAUUUCUAGCUAUCAGCCUGUAUACCUCCGUCGUCAGCUUACCACAUGAGCGCUAACACAGUAAGCCUAAUGUUAUUUCACCCACACGUCAGGUCAAGGUGCAGCUAAUGAAAAGGAAAGAAAUGGGCUACACUUUCUACAAUAGAAAACACGAAGAACUUUAUGAAAUAUAGUUUAAAGGCGGAUUUAGAAGUAAAAAGGAAUCAGCAUGUCCAUUUUAACUCGGCACUGGGGUGUGUACACACCGCCCGUCACCUCUUCAAAACU